rnacentral:rRNA from 1 species
GUGGGGAAUCUUGUGCAAUGGGCGAAAGCCUGACGCAGCCAUGCCGCGUGAAUGAUGAAGGUCUUAGGAUUGUAAAAUUCUUUCACCGGGGACGAUAAUGACGGUACCCGGAGAAGAAGCCCCGGCUAACUUCGUGCCAGCAGCCGCGGUAAUACGAAGGGGGCUAGCGUUGCUCGGAAUUACUGGGCGUAAAGGGCGCGUAGGCGGACAGUUUAGUCAGAGGUGAAAGCCCAGGGCUCAACCUUGGAAUUGCCUUUGAUACUGGCUGUCUUGAGUACAGGAGAGGUGAGUGGAACUCCGAGUGUAGAGGUGAAAUUCGUAGAUAUUCGGAAGAACACCAGUGGCGAAGGCGACUCACUGGCCCGUUACUGACGCUGAGGCGCGAAAGCGUGGGGAGCAAACAGGAUUAGAAACCCGAGUAGUCC